CAACUACUCCCUCUGUCCCAAAUUUCUUGUCUUAGAUUUGUCUAGAUACGGAUGUAUCUAAUACUAAAAUGUGACUUGAUACAUCCGUAUCUAGACAAAUCNAAGACAAGAAUUUUGGGACGGAGGGAGUACUUU
rnacentral:pre_miRNA from 1 species